rnacentral:rRNA from 1 species
AUUGAACGCUGGCGGCAGGCCUAACACAUGCAAGUCGAGCGGAGCGGCGGACGGGUGAGUAAUGCCUAGGAAUCUGCCUGGUCGUGUGGGAUAACGUCCGGAAACGGGCGCUAAUACCGCAUACUCUCAGCUGAGCCUAGGUCGGAUUAGCUAGUUGGUGGGGUAAAGGCCUACCAAGGCGACGAUCCGUAACUGGUCUGAGAGGAGGAUCAGGAACAGGGGAACGGAGACAAGGUCCAGAAUCCUACGGGAGGCAGCAGUGGGGAAUAUUGGACAAGGGGCGAAAGCCUGAUCCAGCCAUGCCGCGUGUGUGAAGAAGGGCUUCGGAGUGUAAAGCACGUUAAGUUGGGAGGCGUUACCAACAGAAUAAGCACCGGCUAAAUUCGUGCCAGCAGCCGCGGUAAUAC